rnacentral:rRNA from 1 species
UGGGACUGUACUUUGAAAGAAGGGAAGGGGCAGGACGUCAUGGAGGGUGAGAAUCCCGUGUGGCGAGGGUGUCAGUUCUUUGUAAAGGGUGCUCGAUCCUGUUCCAGUAAGUAUGGGAAUGCAGCUCUAAGUGGGUGGUAAAUUCCAUCUAAAGCUAAAUACAGGCGAGAGACCGAUAGCGAACAAGUACAGUGAUGGAAAGAUGAAAAGAACUUUGAAAAGAGAGUGAAAAAGUACGUGAAAUUGUUGAAAGGGAAAGGGCAUUUGAUCAGACAUGGUGUUUUGCGCCCCUUGCCUCUCGUGGGCUUGGGACUCUCGCAGCUUCACUGGGCCAGCAUCGGGUUUUGGCGGCCGGAAAAAACUUUAUUGAAAUGUGGCUCUGCCGCCCUCGGUGUAAAGUGUUAUAGCCCCUGGGGAAUUACGGGCCCAGCCCGGGGACCCGAGGACUUGCGAAUACUUUGUUAUCCUAGGGAUGCUGGCCAUAAUGGGGUUAUAUGCCCGCCCCGUCUUU